UACGUAGGUGGCAAGCGUUGUCCGGAUUUACUGGGCGUAAAGAGCGCGCAGGCGGUCGUUCAAGUCGAGUGUGAAAGCCCCCGGCUCAACUGGGGAGGGUCAUUCGAUACUGAUCGACUCGAAGGCAGGAGAGGGAAGCGGAAUUCCCGGUGUAGUGGUGAAAUGCGUAGAUAUCGGGAGGAACACCAGUGGCGAAGGCGGCUCACUGGCCCGGUACUGACGCUGAGGCACGAAAGCGUGGGGAGCAAACAGG
rnacentral:rRNA from 1 species